ACGACUCUCGGCAACGGAUAUCUCGGCUCUCGCAUCGAUGAAGAACGUAGCGAAAUGCGAUACCUGGUGUGAAUUGCAGAAUCCCGCGAACCAUCGAGUCUUUGAACGCAAGUUGCGCCCGAGGCCACUCGGCUGAGGGCACGCCUGCCUGGGCGUCACGC
rnacentral:rRNA from 2 species